rnacentral:rRNA from 1 species
GUGGGGAAUAUUGGACAAUGGGCGAAAGCCUGAUCCAGCCAUGCCGCGUGUGUGAAGAAGGUCUUCGGAUUGUAAAGCACUUUAAGUUGGGAGGAAGGGUAGUAACCUAAUACGUUGCUACUUUGACGUUACCGACAGAAUAAGCACCGGCUAACUUCGUGCCAGCAGCCGCGGUAAUACGAAGGGUGCAAGCGUUAAUCGGAAUUACUGGGCGUAAAGCGCGCGUAGGUGGUUCAGUAAGUUGGAAGUGAAAUCCCCGGGCUCAACCUGGGAACUGCUUUCCAAACUGCUGAGCUAGAGUACGGUAGAGGGUGGUGGAAUUUCCUGUGUAGCGGUGAAAUGCGUAGAUAUAGGAAGGAACACCAGUGGCGAAGGCGACCACCUGGACUGAUACUGACACUGAGGUGCGAAAGCGUGGGGAGCAAACAGGAUUAGAAACCCGAGUAGUCC